rnacentral:misc_RNA from 1 species
UCCUAGUUAACCUAGGCAGUCUCAUUAGAGUCCCCACCUCGCGUGUUGGCAACUAAUGAUAAGGGUUGCGCUCGUUGCUGGACUUAACCAAACACCUCACGGCACGAGCUGACGACAGCCAUGCAGCACCUAUAUAAAGGUCCUUGCGGAACUCACCGUUUCUGGUGAUGUCCUUUACAUUUCGAGCCUGGGUAAGGUUCUUCGCGUUGCAUCGAAUUAAACCACAUGCUCCACUGCUUGUGCGGGCCCCCGUCAAUUCUUUUGAGUUUCACCCUUGCGAGCGUACUCCCCAGGCGGUAUACUUAUCGCGUUAGCUUCGACACAGCCAGGGUUGAGCCUAGCUACAUCAAGUAUACAUCGUUUACGGCAAGGACUAC